AACGAAUAUGAUGUAUCAGCGGAAAUUUCCCUACAAACCAUAGCGGAAAUGGAAAUAUAUGAAUGAAUUUUAUUACAUAAUAAGUACAAGAUAUUUCUAAUAUACUAAACGUAAAUCGAGCAUGAAAUAGUGUCGAACAGUGGUAGUUUAAGUAGGGACGCGUUCCCUGGACAAAGGCAUUUGCGAGGAGCAUUUAGCGGCCAUUCGGAGUUAACCCUUCUACACUCUGAGCAUCGAAGUUCUUAACAUUGCGCAAAAGACGCGCAGAAGUCUUAACAUCAGAGUUGAAGACCGACCUCUAUGGUCUUCUCUACGCUCAAGAAUAUCUCGGACCAGGAUUCCAUAAAUAUUCCUAAAGUUUCUUGAAAAUUAAAUACUCGAAUAAGUAUGAAAAAAUUGACUUAGCCGUUUGGCAAAAAAAUAUUAAAACGUAAAGUUAGUUAAACUGUUAUCGAUGAAUUGGGACUUUUCAAUAUCGUUAUUUAACGGCAGAUUAUUCGUGGUGACGUUUUAUUUAUUCAGAAUAUAUUAUACAUAAAACACAUUUGUAUAAUCUGAAUGAAUGUUAUUACAAAACGCAAGCUUUUAAUAUACGUCCUUCUUCAGUGUAGUUGAGAGUCCUGUUUACUCACCCGUAUAGGUAUACUAUUUAUGUUAUUACAAUCCGCAAACCUUUGAUCGUUUGAUCAAACGUAAUAUUUAAUUUAUUUGAAAUAUAAAAUGUAAAUUGUAAGAUAGUAUAGUUUAAAGCGGACAAUACGAACACAUUUAAGCUCUCAAAAAAUUGGGCCAACGAAUGCGCCGCGGUGACGUAUCUAAAAUCAUCGAUUAGAGCGCUAUAUGUAUCAACACGUGCUUUCGAUUUAAUUUGUUAGGCAUUCGAAUUUGAAAAUAGAAACUCUAAAUAUUUAUAAAAUAGUGUUGAGAGUUGGGAUAAAAUUACGAGGAUUUGAAUCGUCUCCGUGGGUUUGUUGUAUCCACUACGAUUAGUAAAACUAGAGUAAUAAAAUUGGUUUAGAAUAAUUAGUACUACCGGUCAGCCGAAACUAACUGAGCAAUGUUCAAAAUUGUAUAUUUUGCACAUUUGGCAUACAGAGUACCAAACACAAGUUUGUCUACAUCUACGAAAACCAUACCUAUUACCCAAAACAAAA